rnacentral:rRNA from 1 species
AUACGUAGGUGGCAAGCGUUGUCCGGAAUUAUUGGGCGUAAAGCGCGCGCAGGCGGUCCUUUAAGUCUGAUGUGAAAGCCCACGGCUCAACCGUGGAGGGUCAUUGGAAACUGGGGGACUUGAGUGCAGAAGAGGAAAGUGGAAUUCCAAGUGUAGCGGUGAAAUGCGUAGAGAUUUGGAGGAACACCAGUGGCGAAGGCGACUUUCUGGUCUGUAACUGACGCUGAGGCGCGAAAGCGUGGGGAGCAAACAGGAUUAGAUACCCUGGUAGUCCACGCCGUAAACGAUGAGUGCUAAGUGUUAGGGGGUUUCCGCCCCUUAGUGCUGCAGCUAACGCAUUAAGCACUCCGCCUGGGGAGUACGGUCACAAGACUGAAACUCAAAGGAAUUGACGGGG